GAGUGCUUAUUUCUAGAGCAAGCUGCGAGUAAUAGAAGUCAGAAGUAGUUGCUCAGACUCAAGUGCUGAAGAACGAGAAGGACCUGUACGUUGUUGCAUUUAUAUAUAUGACUUAUUAGUUAUUUCUAGAUUGAUUCCUAUUCUUCUUCGAUGAACUCAUCAUCCCUGGUGAAUAAUUAUUCUCAAUGGAUAAGGAGAUUCGAGUGAUUUACCAUGUGGAUGAUGAAGAGACUCCUUACCUCAUCAAGCUUCCCUCAUCCCGGGAGCUUCCUUGCCUCUCUGACCUGAAGGCUGUGAUCCACUCCGAGUCCAGCCCCAUCAAAAGAGACUUUAAAUUCUUUUUCAAAUCCAAAGAUGACGACUUCGGAGUGGUCAAAGAGGAGAUAUUCGAGGAUGAAGCCACUUUGCCGCUCUUUAACGGACGGAUCGUGGCCUGGCUCGUCUCCACGGGGAAGUUGGAGGAUGAACUCUUGCCUUGUGAGAGAGGCAAAGGAGUGGGAGAAACGCGUCCUCCCUCAUUCCACGGAGGGAGACAUUUUGACGUAGGACUCCUCUCCUCUGACAGCACCUUAAUCGACAGCACAAUCACCACCCUCAGCUCUCAUCAAGACAUUGAGGAUGAAGAUCAAGAUACAUUCGACGAUGAAACAGAGUCUAAUCUCACCUCAGUCAGUCAGGCAGCUCGAGAAAGACGUCGUCUCGAAAUGGAGGCACGGAUGCGAAGUCGAGCUCGUCCUCAACCCUCAUCAAUACUCUCUUCAGAAAUUGAGCUCUCUACUACGAAUUUUGAGUCGGAGGAUGCGUCUUCCAUUGUGUCCUCGCGCUUUACUACUUCCACGGAUCAUACCUCUGUAUCUCGUAAUGCUUUAAAACAAAGACAGAAACGGAAGUUAAGGCGAAGGGCUGGGGAUCAUCAUCGUUUAGAAAGAGCUGGCUCUAUUUCAUCUGUUACGGAUUCUACACUUAGUUUGAAUUUACUUACGGUCACACUCAAUAUGGAUUCUGUCAAUUUUUUGGGUAUAUCCAUUGUUGGUCAAAGUAACAAGAAUGGCAAUGGAGACUGUGGGAUCUAUGUUGGAUCCAUUAUGAAGGGUGGAGCUGUUGCUUUAGAUGGGCGCAUUGAUCCGGGUGAUAUGAUACUCCAAGUAAAUGAUAUCAAUUUUGAAAAUAUGUCCAAUGAUGACGCCGUUCGAGUGUUGAGGAACGUAGUUCAAAAGCCAGGUCCCAUUAAAUUGGUGAUAGCCAAAUGCUGGGAUCCUUCUCCCAAAGGUUAUUUUACACUCCCUAGGACAGAACCCGUUCGACCUAUCGAUCCAGGUGCAUGGGUAGCUCAUACGGCAGCUGUGAGAGGAGACUAUCCUGGCAGAGCCCCUUCCGUCACGACAUUGUCAGCCUCUUCAACUCUUUCCAGUCAAACAGUUCAAAAAUCUCCAAUCCUUUUACCUCAACCCGAGCCUCUAUCCAUCAAUUCCGGUAUGGAUGUAAUAGUAUCCAGUAUGAAAAAAUGCGACUCGGGCUUGGAAGUUCGUGAUCGUAUCUGGCUCAAAAUUACACUUAACAAUGCAUUUAUGGGUUCAGACGUAGUAGAUUGGUUGUACAGUCACGUAGCCGGAUUCUCGGAUCGUCGUGAAGCUAAAAAAUAUGCUAGUCAAAUGUUGAAGAACAAUUUUAUAAAACAUGCUGUGAAUAAGAGCACUUUUAGUGAACAAUGUUACUAUGUAUUUGUGGAGACCGGUGGGACGGGGAGUGGAUCAGAGUUAAAUGAAGUAGCUAAUGGAUUGGGGAAAGUAUCAUUGAAUCCACCUGACGAGCCUCCUCCUCCAAUUCCAAGCAAUGUUUCUCCGUGGAUCCCUCCUCCGAGUGAUAAAAGCUCUCUCUAUACACCAAUAUAUAAUCCUUCAGCACCGCCUCCGUCAGCAAAUUAUGUCCCUUAUGGAAGUAGUGAAAACGGUUACAGCACUUUUCAACAAAGCACUGUUUCCAGCUCAGUACAUGCAUCAGGCAAACAAGAAUAUUUUGUCAUUGAGUUGAUAUAACUUCAACAAUGAAGUACGUUCCACUCCCUCAAUAUGGCAGUCAAUCCAAUGACUCAUUAAAUAGUGUAGGAAGUUUUAGAAAAAAAUUUAUUUGCAUCAUCAUCAAUAUUAAUAAGGCAAAGUUAGUCUGAUCAUCUAGAAGAGUUGAUUGUCAACUUCUUGCACCAAGUGGAAGCGAGUCGGACACAACGACCGGAAUAUAUCCCCCUGCUGCCACCAAUCUACAACGAGAUUGUUUAAUCGUAAACAGUGUUCCUGUUAUGAACAAACAAUAGGAAACAUAUUUAUGUAUCAAAACAAUUUAUAAUUAAUUGUCAAUCUUUAUCCUAGCAUUUUAUUUUUACAAUUUUUAACAUUUUAUUUACUAUUUUUCUAUUGACUCAAUGGAUGCUAUAUUGUCAAAUUUAGGCAAAUUAUAAUUUUAU
rnacentral:misc_RNA from 1 species